rnacentral:rRNA from 1 species
GAUGAACGCUGGCGGCGUGCCUAAUACAUGCAAGUCGAGCGAACAGAUGAGGAGCUUGCUCCUCUGACGUUAGCGGCGGACGGGUGAGUAACACGUGGAUAACCUACCUAUAAGACUGGGAUAACUUCGGGAAACCGGAGCUAAUACCGGAUAAUAUAUUGAACCGCAUGGUUCAAUAGUGGAAGACGGUUUUGCUGUCACUUAUAGAUGGAUCCGCGCCGCAUUAGCUAGUUGGUAAGGUAACGGCUUACCAAGGCAACGAUGCGUAGCCGACCUGAGAGGGUGAUCGGCCAUACUGGAACUGAGACACGGUCCAGACUCCUACGGGAGGCAGCAGUAGGGAAUCUUCCGCAAUGGGCGAAAGCCUGACGGAGCAACGCCGCGUGAGUGAUGAAGGUCUUCGGAUCGUAAAACUCUGUUAUUAGGGAAGAACAAAUGUGUAAGUAACUAUGCACGUCUUGACGGUACCUAAUCAGAAAGCCACGGCUAACUACGUG